rnacentral:rRNA from 2 species
AGUCAACAUGCCCAGGGGACGUGGAUAACCUCGGGAAACUGAGGAUAAACUGCGAUAGGCCAAGGUUUCUGGAAUGGACAAUGGCUGAAACCUAUAUGGCCCCUGGAUUGGACUGCGGCCGAUCAGGCUGUUGGUGGGGUAAUGGCCCACCAAACCAAUAACCGGUACGGGCUUUGAGAGAAGGAGCCCGGAGAUGGGCACUGAGACAAGGGCCCAGGCCCUAUGGGGCGCAGCAGGCGCGAAACCUCUGCAAUAGGCGAAAGCUUGACAGGGUUACUCUGAGUGAUGCCCGCUAAGGGCAUCUUUUGGCACCUCUAAAAAUGGUGCAGAAUAAGGGGUGGGCAAGUCUGGUGUCAGCCGCCGCGGUAAUACCAGCACCCCGAGUGGUCGGGACGAUUAUUGGGCCUAAAGCAUCCGUAGCUUGUUCUGCAAGUCCUCCGUUAAAUCCACCUGCUCAACAGAUGGGCUGCGGAGGAUACUACAGGGCUAGGAGGCGGGAGAGGCAAACGGUACUCAGUGGGUAGGGGUAAAAUCCACUGAUCCACUGAAGACCACCAGUGGCGAAGGCGGUUUGCCAGAACGCGCUCGACGGUGAGGGAUGAAAGCUGGGGGAGCAAACCGGAUUAGAUACCCGGGUAGUCCCAGCUGUAAACGAUGCAGACUCGGUGAUGGGUUGGCUUCGGGCCAACCCAGUGCCGCAGGGAAGCCGUUAAGUCUGCCGCCUGGGGAGUACGGUCGCAAGACUGAAACUUAAAGGAAUUGGCGGGGGAGUACCACAAGGGGUGAAGCCUGCGGUU